GCGGGCGUCCAGGGAGGGCAGCGUGCGGUCGGUGAAGUCCGGGUUCGCGGCGAGGAGCUGCUCGUCCAGGUGGAUGAAGCGCUGCUUGAUGCCGGACUUGUUACAGAUCCUGGUGAGCUUGCCCUUGAGGUCGGUGAGGUGCUCGCUCUUUGUGACGCGGAAGUAGUAGUCGGGGUACUCGUCCUGGGCCAAGCACGUCGGCGGGUUCGCCGUGCCGAUGCCUAGCACGGCAGCCGGGCCAUCCGCGCGCUGGGCACGCCUCAUAUCGCCGAUGGUGGCGGGAGCGCUGCCCAUGGAAUGGAAGUAGUCGAAGGGAAGACACCGAGGAGUUACGUUAACCAGCUGGCUCGCCGGUGUGCUCUAGCUACUAGCAGCUAGCUUCAGUAGCUAGUGCGCUGCUCCUGCUCCUGCUAGCUAGGGAUCGAAAAUUUGCGUCUGUGGCUUGGUGCUUCAGAGAGGCUGGAGGUGCUCUCUAUUUAUACUACUACUAGUCAGUACUAGUUGUGGGCCUGUUGAUUUCCUCGUAGCUAGCGUUCCAUUGAGUGCGAUGUGCGUUCGGCCGGGCUACUGAUGGCGACGAUCUUAUACCACGGAUGGCACUGGCCGCCACUGCUGUGGGGAAAUGACUUAGCCCGGUCAACUGCGCAUCAGGAGUUUGACAUGUGACAAAAUAAUGUAAUUAUCGUUUUUUUAGAAUCAAACAACUUGAACUCUGACUAAAUUUAUAUAAAAAAUUUUAAAGUUCAUGAUAUAAAAUAAGUAUUAUUAGAUUAGUAAUAGACUCAUAGAAUAUAUUUUUAUAAUAAAAUUAUUCGAAGCUAUAAAUAUUAAUAUUAUUUACUAUAAAUUUAGUACAAAUAUAAGUUUGUAUUCUUUUUUGGACGGAGGACGAAGGGAGUACACAGGAGGGGCACGCCUACUCUUCGAUGAUAGUACUACCAGGGGCGGAAAUAGGCGGCAGGGGGAGGCAUGCCCCUCUGUAAACGUGAAUUUUCCACUAAGAUCUUUAAAAUUCAAAAAAGAAAUAAAAAUUCAACACUAUUGCCCCCCUCAAAUAUUAAAAAAAAAUAACUUUCUAUCCCUGAGUACUGCAAAGUUAGACGUCUACUCUGAUCCCUUCAUUCUCUAUUACUAAUUGAUGUUUUAGACUCUCUCACAAAGACCAAUUAAUUUAGAAGACAAAAGAGCAAAAUAUUCCUAUUUUUUUUCUUUUGAUGGUCCAAAAAAAGUAGAGAUAGUGAUGUAUUGGGAAAAAAAUAGGAGAAGAGAAAGAUACAUUAAAAAGUGAGGAUGAUAACUAUUUCAGAAUACAAUUUAAAUACUAUAUAUUUUGGUAUAGAGAGAGUAAGUGUUUAGAUAUACUAUAGUAUAUAUCAGUACUUACUAAGACAAUAUUCAGGCAAUGUCAAGGAAGUACACGGGUCAAAUUAGCACCAUUCGUGCAAUCCAAUGAGAAGACAUGGAUCUGAGGGAGGACAUUGUAAUGGAACACGCCAAAGAAACCAUCUGAAUCAUUUUUAUUUGGACCAUAGCUUGGAACUGGCUUGAACUAAUAAACCAUGCAUAUGCAUGCAAAGGACUAAGGGUACAUUUGGCUAGCUCUAGCUCCUCUCUUAGAGUAAUCUUUUAAAUAGAAGAACGAUUAGUAAAAUAGCUUAUAAUGGCAUAACUUUCGUCCCUUAAUAGUAUAAGAUACACUCAGUGGAUACUUUCUCUUGUCACACCAGUAGAAGAUUCACCAGGAAGUUAAGAGUCUGGUAUCCCGCCAGGCUCAACAAAUGUUAUAUGUUAAUGGAACAGACAGUUGGCCAAAGGAAGAACAUACUACCAGAGAAUUAAAGACAGAUGCGGCCAAGGAGAGUUCUCCACAUGGCAGUAUGGGGCCAAAACACUUACCAAACGUUCUAGUGUGAAGGUAGAAGACCAUUGGAUCAUCUGACGAUGUCUCUAGGGACUUGGCCGCUAUGCAAGGCGUGCACUGGACCAACUGUUGAUAGGAAGUGCACAAUGACGUAUUGUUCGGUACACAUCAAAGAUGUGGCUAGAGAAGAUUAUAUGCACUAGACGGCCUGAUGGAAGAAUAAAAGACAACACUAGACAAUGCAGCAGUAGGAAAAUUGCAAUGGCUAGUAGCACCGUAUGAUUUGGCGAUGAAUGCAUUCAAGGCAGUGGAUUGUCCACUACUCACAAUUUCUUUACAAGAUUAGUUGAGGGGAUGAGGCUAUAUAUAUGCGGUUACCUCACCUGCUUGAGUGUGUUACUGUGCUCGAAGGCUGAUACAAUUGUUAGAGCAAGUAUUUCUAGACUUCAUCCACCCUCUCAAGCCAUUCAAGAUCACAUCCAAAGCUAGGAGAAACACUAUAUAUAGUGCAUGCUUGUGAGUUUAAGCCUUGAGAGCUUUGAGUGAUUGGGUUGUGUUGCCCUUCUAUCUUGGUGAUGUGGAGCGCUUGGGAUCUUUGUGACAUUUUGGUGGAGUGGUGGCCUUCGAGGCGAUGUCAGUGCGUAGGGGAUGAGGAGACCCCAUAACUCGUGUGGAGAAAUAAACCUCAUAGCGCACACAACAUCAUAAGUGAUGGGAAGAGACGGAUAGUAAUGAUGGGACCAUGCGAGUCACACGCUAGGCUUUGGUUGGUAGAGGUCUUGUGUGGAAAAUCCAAUACGACUAGGAGAAACUUGGUCACCGGGAGCGUACCUCGAUCAAGCUCCAACGUGAUUAAGAGUUGUGAUUUUUUAAAUUUGUUUUAGACUUCUGGAAGGAGAUGAUCGCCUGGUGCUUCCAGAACGCGGCGUCACCUUUCGUGGACGCGCUGCAACUGAUCAAGCUGGAGACAGAUCGGUGGAUUGAGGCCGUAGCACAUGGGUUGUGUAGCUUAACUCAUGAGACUUAGCGGCCUGCUCGUUCUUCCAGUUAUAAUGAUCACUGUUCGUCAUGUAACAUUCAAUGUUUUUGGUUUUGCCGGCAUCGGCUUCAUGUAGUUAAAACUCUUUUCUUCUUCUAAUACAAAGAUACGCACACUCAUGCGUAUUCGUGAAAAAAUUGUUUUAGACAUCAAUUUAGCCCGUCCCUUAAUUGCUCAUGAGACCUUUCACUAGAGUCACAAUAUCAACGUGUCGUAUGCAAUGACGACUUAGAAGAGACUUUUCAUCAUCUGUUCUUCCAAUACAGGACAAGUAUAUCUCUCCAUUUGUUAUACUGUAACAAGCGAAAACUAGAAACCUUUCUUCAUGGAGCUUUUUUUAUUGUUGCUUUGUGCAUUUGGAAAUAGCAACAUGGGUUCAUCUUUGACAACAAGAUUCAAAAUGUGGCAAAAAGAAGUUCCAUUUAUGCAAAAAGUCAGACUCAUUUGUAUAGUUCCAUUAUGGUUUUGCUCAAUUCUUUAUAAUGCUCUUCCUCUCAAUUACCUUAUCCUCUUCCUCGCCCUGUCUUGGGCUCGCUACGUUAUCCUCUUACCAUCUCUCUCUCUGGGCUGUCUCCCUCCCUCCCAUUUUUCUCCGGCGCAUAGUGCCCCCUCAGCGGCGCCACCUCUCUUGGCACGGUGCUCUACCUCCUAGCAUAGUGCAAGCGGGCCUGUGACCAUACAAUUUAGAGCCAUACUGUGAGUAAGUAUUGUCCACUCUAUUGUAGUGUUGUGCACCGGAUACAUCAGAGUCGUAUUACAACUCUGUUCAUAUUUAUUUUAUGUUCUUAGCCAUAUUCAUGUAGUACUAUAUUGCUGACACAAAGAGUUUUUGCUUGUCUUGGGCCUGGGCGCCUGGCAGUGGCAUUGGCGAGGCACUGGCUAACCUUGUAUUCCAUCCAUUCCAAAUUAUAUAGACUCCAUUAUAUUUAUUAUUCAUGAUGAAAUAAAAAAAUACACUAUCAACUGUUAUUUAAUUAAACAGAUGAAAAAUAAACUGUAACACACACAUAUAAAGGUCUAGACCCAACGCAUGAACAUUUUUGUUAAACAAAUUCAAUAGAAAAACGGUACAUAUCAAGCUGAUAUAGUAAGACUACUAAUUUAGCACUCAACCGCCUUCUUACGGUCCAUUAUUUUAGGUCCGUCUUACUUAUUGUUGGAUCCUUGUAAUAUCCUUGCUCACCGAGUUGUAGGGCAUUUAAAUUUGAAUUUCUAAUUUCCCUCCAGAGUGGCGGUAGGGGCACGCAGCACCAUGGUCUCUAUUGUGAUUCCCGGUCCGAAUGCCAUCAUGACUCCCCACUCCGGUGCUUUGCCUUCCUCCUGCUUGGCUGCCAGAACCCGACGGCGGCGCAGCUCGUCGAGCACGAAGAUCACCGUUGUGCCGCUCAUGUUACCGAACUCGCUGAGCACGUGGCGGCUGGCUGCCAAUUUGCCAUCGUCUAGGCCGAGCACUCCCUCGAUAUGGUCCAGAAUGGCACGGCCGCCAGGAUGGAUCGCCCAGAAGAGGUCGUUCCAAUCGGCAUUGUUGAUGCCAAGCGCGCCAAACGCGUCGACGAGGCAGCGUUCCACGUUGCAUCCCAGCAACCGGGGAACCUGGUUGGAGAUGUGAUACUCCAUGCCACCCUUGUUGAUCUGCAUGGAGAUGGCAUCCUCGGUUUCCGGUAUGGUGGUCUGCGAGGCGAAGGCCAUCUCGAACAGCGGGCGCUCCACGGGGCUGACAGGGUCGGCGCCGACGAUGACGGCACCGGCGCCGUCGCCGAACAGAGCCUGUCCCAGGAUGUUGUCGGGGCAGCCGCCUUCCGGCCCGUAGAAGGCGAUGAGCGUGAUCUCGGAGCACGCCACGAGGACGCGCGCGCCGCGGUUGUUCUCCGCGAGCUCCUUGGCGAGCUGGAGCGACCUGCCCCCGCCGUAGCAGCCGUGGAGGUUGAGUAUGGUGCGGGACACCGUGGGGCUGAGGCCCAGCAGGGACGCGAGGCGGCGGUCGGCGCUCGGCGCGCGCGCGCCGGAGUACGUGCUGAAGAUGAGGUGGGUGAUGUCGGUGGCUGGGCGGCCCCACUCGGCGAUGGCCUUGGCCGCGGCGGACGCGGCCAGCUCCGGGACGGCGGCGGAGGCGAUCUCCACGCGGGCGUCCAGGGACGGCAGCGUGCGGUCGGUGAAGUCCGGGUUCGCGGCGAGGAGCUGCUUGUCAAGGUGGAUGAAGCGCUUCUUGAUGCCCGACUUGUUACAGAUCCUGGUGAGCUUGCCCUUGAGGUCGGUGAGGUGCUCGCUCUUUGUGACGCGGAAGUAGUAGUCGGGGUACUCGUCCUGGGCCAAGCACGUCGGCGGGUUCGCCGUGCCGAUGCCUAGCACGGCAGCCGGGCCAUCCGCGCGCUGGGCACGCCUCAUAUCGCCGACGGU
rnacentral:lncRNA from 1 species